GGGGGGACGCAGAUAACAAGAACGGAGCAAAAAAGGAUGACAGCAGAUCAGAUUAUAAAGGAAAGAAGAAAAAGAAGCAUAAGAGAGGGGGAAAAGGAUAAGGGAAUCCAAAUAUAAUAUACACUACGGAAAUAUAGCCAAAGAAAAAUUACCAAAGUACCUAGAAGGGAGGAUGAAAUGGAAAGACAGGAGAAUACUGGCAAGAUUCAGAUAUGGAAACGAGACCAAAGCAAAGAAAUACUGGAAGGAAGAGGGAGAAAAAAGAUGCAGACUAUGUAAAAGGAAUGAAGAAGACCUGAGGUAUUAUACCAUUUACCGUAAGAAACUUGAGAUAAAUCAUUUGAAUAUAACAUUCAAAUUUUUAAAACGGUUGCAUACUACAAUAUUUAGAAUCAUUAAUUUUAAAAACAAAUGGGGAUCAAUUGUUCAACACAGACGUGAUACAGAAAUAACAUAUUUAUAUUUUAUAUCUUAUGAUGUAACAAGUCUUUUUGCUCCUAAAAUAUAAGGUAAAAAUGGAUGAAAAGAUCAAUGUCAUAACAAAAGGAGUGGUACAAGCUUCAAUUAUAUCAUCUAUUUUAUCAGAUAUAUAUUAUAAUUUUAUAUUACAUAAGGCAACAAAUUUAGCAAUUGGUACAGUUAUAAAAUACGUAAAUGAUAUUUUAUAUAUUACA
rnacentral:misc_RNA from 1 species